CCCCUAACUAUUAAAAGUUUUGUUUUGGUCCCUUAACUUAUUUUUUGGUUUCGUUUUGGUCCCUUAACUCUUCCUCUGUCAACCACUUUGGUCCUUUAUGUUAGGAUGAAUGUAUUAGAGUUAAGGACCAAAACGAAAUCAAAAAAUAAGUUAAGGGACCAAAACGAAACCAAAAAAUAAGUUAAGGGACCAAAACUAAACUUUUAAUAGUUAAGGGACCAAAACAAAACCAAAAAAUAAUUUAAGGGACCAAAACUAAACUUUUAAUAGUUAAGGGA
rnacentral:pre_miRNA from 1 species